GGGCCACUAGCUCAAUUGGCAGAGCAUCUGACUCUUAAUCAGCAGGUUCAAGGUUCGAUUCCUUGGUGGCCCACCA
rnacentral:tRNA from 2 species